ensembl:lncRNA
GCACCAGGGACCUACAGUGAGAAGGCCCGGGAGAGCCACCACUGGGGACGCCAUGAUGCGUUGGCCAGCUGUAUCGCUCGCUUGGAUAAGAGCUCGGCACCAGAAGAGGGUUUUCCAGAAUGAGGAAUGGAAAAAAUGAUCCUUCAAAACAAAAGCGCAGGUUUUUGGAGGCUCUUCUUAUUCCACAGGGUACAGUUACCAGAGCGCUGACCUCAGUGAACAGGGUGGAGUACUGCCUCUGCUUGUGCAUCAUGUAUCUGAGAUGGAAAUUAAGUUGUGACUUUUCUUUCUCCAGGAUUUUAGUAUUUAUUUUUGGGGUGGUUGGAGGUUCAAAGACAAAAGUAAACAAAACUGAACAUUUUGCUCAAGCAAACUCAAACGAUUUCAUGACUGGGAUUUCACUGCAUCUGCUGGUAAAAUAAUCAACAUUUGUGCACGAUAGCUUUGGUUGCUCUGGGGAAAGAUCAAAUUGGAUUUGUUUUUCCUGUGGUACUAUAUUACCUCUUCCAGAAUUCUGAGAAAUAUGGGACGUUGGAAACUUUGGCUACAAACUUUAGAGAUAUCAAGUCUCUUUCCGAUGGAAGGCUUUUCCCACUAAUCGGCAUCAGUAAUCUAGUCGCAAAUGUGUAAACCAUACAUUUGCAUGAAGAUUACAGAUACUGCAUGAAGAUUAAAGAUACUGCAUGAAGAUUACAGAUGCAGUCUCCUAUCUGAUUUUGCAAAGCUGGAUGCUACAUAGGUGUCGUAAGAAUAAUGGAUGUCUUUGGCACCAUCCUUAAUAUUCCAACUGCUUUCAAUAUGGGAACCCUUAAUUAAGGAGAAAAUAACAUGUUUGAUGGAUCCAGAUCCUGGCCUAGGUGUGGUCCAGCCUUGGUCCCGGCAGUUGGUUGGUCUUCCAAACGACCGGACCAUGCGGUUAAUGAAAUGGUAUUCCACCUGGGUGAUUGUCAAAAGAAGUUUACAGCGACCGCUCAGGUUAAGGGGCUGCAAUCGGCCUCGCCUCGCCUGAACUUUCCCCUUUUAACCUCUGCUUGUAAUAUCAGUGUAAGUACUAGGCAAGACACAUAAUGUCCUGGUCGAAAGGAUUCACUAGGAGUUAAUGUGAAAAACGAAUUAAAGUGCCUUCAUAGCUAACUGUCAACCAAAGGUUUGGUGUUCCUUUUUGUCAGCGUGCUUCUAGUACCCCCCCUCCCCUUCGCUCUCAAUUCAAUUCACUUUCCUCUAUUGGCAAGAACAAUGAAACACUAUCGCCAAAGCUGUUCUCUAUCUACUCCCUCUUCUCUCUUCGCUGUAGUGUGUAUGUGGUCAGCGGUUUUGCAUGCACGUCAACUGAUUCAGAUUAGUGAGCGCUGGGUGGAGGCGAUGCUCGCAACACGUCCUCGGUACGGUGAGAUCGCGUCCCUUUAUCAGUGUGAGGGGGAGGGAUUUCCAACGGGGAGUGGGAGCAUUGCAGAAGUGGCGUUCUAUUCGUACGUGAUGCAUAAAAUGCCCAUGUUAUAUGGUAUCAAGUGACCUUACUGUAGUUCAUUUCAUUAAACACGGCCCUGUGAUGUAAACAGGGGUGUGUGUGUGUGUGUGUGUGUGUGUGUGCGUGAGAAAGAUUCCCUGUUUCCCUUUAGAUGUCAACCCUUAGCGUGAUGUCUGCCUCAAACCCCACUUGCCCUCCCGAAUCAUAAAGGCAAGGACAAUUUAUUUAUCUCCAAAUGCAAUCACAUGUCAAACCCUCUAUGUUUCUAAGACGCAGGCGUGGUAUUGAGUCAAAACAUCCCCAGUGAAGGCAUCUUUCUGCAGUUGAGUCACUUCCGAUAUGACUUCAGUGAUUUCGUUACUCGUAAGCCAUCUUCCUGAACAAGCUUGGUUUGACGAGGACCUCGCAUCAAUACUCAUUCCCAUGAUACCUUUCACCAUGGUAGCAGGGCCUCUGAUCUGUUACAGCCCUUAACACGUUCAGUCUCUUAACACUGUUUAGGUCACCUCCAGUUCUCUGUCAAGUAUUAAGUGCAUUUGGAAAACGGCAUCCUGCCCGUUUGUCUGAACUACCCCAGUGCAGAACGAGUGAGCUUGGUGAUAAAAAUAAAAUAAACACAAGACAGCAACAAUCUGUCAACUCGGUGCUUUUUGUCCGUGCUGCUUUUUAUGUCGUCUAUGGUGUUCUUUGUCACACAAAGGUUUAGUUCUGUGAGCGGAGAGGACAGGAGCGGCCCGGGGGGAUACGAGUGUGCUGUGAAGUAUAAUGUAAAGCUCUUAAUACUGUUUAAUAGAGGUGGAAAUCAUCUUCACAUGUAAUAAAUUAGCAGAGUUUAUUAGACUGUUCAAAGGAAGUAAUAAACUAC